rnacentral:rRNA from 1 species
UACGGGGGGGGCAAGCGUUGUUCGGAAUUACUGGGCGUAAAGGGCUCGUAGGUGGCCAACUAAGUCAGACGUGAAAUCCCUCAGCUUAACUGGGGAACUGCGUCUGAUACUGGAUGGCUUGAGUUUGGGAGAGGGAUGCGGAAUUCCAGGUGUAGCGGUGAAAUGCGUAGAUAUCUGGAGGAACACCGGUGGCGAAGGCGGAUCUCUGGGCCAUUACUGACGCUGAGGAGCGAAAGCGUGGGGAGCGAACAGG